rfam:Ipomoea nil DNA, scaffold: scaffold2283, cultivar: Tokyo-kokei standard.
GUUGAGAUGGCCGAGUUGGUAUAAUGCGCCAGAUUUAAGUUUUAGUCUGAAAGGGUGUGGGUUCAAAUCCCACUCUCAACA